rnacentral:rRNA from 1 species
GUGAACCUACGGGACGCAGCAGUGGGGAAUAUUGCACAGUGGGGGAAACCCUGAUGCAGCAACGCCGCGUGAGUGAAGAAGGUUUUCGGAUUGUAAAGCUCUGUUAGCAGGGAAGAGGAAGGACGGUACCUGCAGAGGAAGCCACGGCUAACUACGUGCCAGCAGCCGCGGUAAUACGUAGGCGGCAAGCGUUGUUCGGAAUAACUGGGCGUAAAGGAUGCGUAGGCGGUGAAACAAGGU